rnacentral:rRNA from 1 species
UACGUAGGGGGGCUAGCGUUGUCCGGAAUCAUUGGGCGUAAAGAGCGUGUAGGCGGUCCGGUAAGUCCGCUGUGAAAGUCGGGGGCUCAACCCUCGAAUGCCGGUGGAUACUGUCGGGCUAGAGUACGGAAGAGGCGAGUGGAAUUCCUGGUGUAGCGGUGAAAUGCGCAGAUAUCAGGAGGAACACCUAUUGCGAAGGCAGCUCGCUGGGACGUAACUGACGCUGAGACGCGAAAGCGUGGGGAGCGAACAGGG